rnacentral:rRNA from 1 species
ACACUGUUCAUGGGUUACCGCGGCUGCUGGCACGGAGUUAGCCGGUGCUUCUUCUGCGAGUAACGUCACAGAUGUAAGGUAUUAACUUACACCCUUUCCUCCUCGCUGAAGUGCUUUACAACCCGAAGGCCUUCUUCACACACGCGGCAUGGCUGCAUCAGGGUUUCCCCCAUUGUGCAAUAUUCCCCACUGCUGCCUCCCGUAGGAGUCUGGGCCGUGUCUCAGUCCCAGUGUGGCUGAUCAUCCUCUCAGACCAGCUAGGGAUCGUCGCCUAGGUGAGCCUUUACCUCACCUACUAGCUAAUCCCACCUGGGCUUAUCCAUCAGCGCAAGGCCCGAAGGUCCCCUGCUUUCCCCCGU